rnacentral:lncRNA from 1 species
AACAUUGCAUCCUGUUUCCGCCAAGGGCUCUGAGUGGAGCCCAGGGGUUGCCACAGCGGGCUGUGGCAGCUGGAUGGAAAGCCCAUCGGAAGCCUGGUAGGGGUGCCAGCCCACCACACAGAUGCUGCUCUCCUGCGAAGGAUUCUCUUAUUACUGGAAAAUGUCCUCAAUACCCAGGGAUCACUCAGCACAAGGUCAAGAGCUGACUGUCAGCAAGAAAGAAAAGCAGAGCAAAGAAAUGAAGACCAUGUGAAAGGAAAACAUUGCUUUCAAGGCUCUGCCUACAAGGUCCACAUGAAAGUAAGUAUAACAUUAAAAACUCUGGCUGCUAGAGCUAGGAUAGUGGAAGGUGCAAGAUAUUUGCUGGAGUGAUGCAGAGUCCAGAGGGAAAGUUGUCCCAAGAAAAAUCCAGGCGGGGGGAAAGACUCGGCACCAGGGUCAGAUUAUGAGGGUCAUUUAAUAUGUGAUCCUGAGCAAAUCAGAGUUCUUCUGGGCUUUAAAAGGAAGAUUCAAUAAUGGCACCUACUCCAUAAGGCUGUUGUGAG